ACGGAGGGUGCAAGCGUUGUUCGGAAUCACUGGGCGUAAAGAGCGUGUAGGCGGCGUUGUAAGUCUGAUGUGAAAGCCCUCGGCUUAACCGAGGAAGUGCAUCAGAUACUGCAGUGCUUGAAUCUCGGAGGGGGUGGCGGAAUUCCUGGUGUAGAGGUGAAAUUCGUAGAUAUCAGGAGGAACACCUGUGGCGAAGGCGGCCACCUGGACGAGUAUUGACGCUGAGACGCGAAAGCGUGGGUAGCAAACAGG
rnacentral:rRNA from 1 species